ACUCCUACGGGAGGCAGCAGUGGGAAUAUUGGACAAUGGGGGAACCCGUAGCAUCCAGCCAUGCCGCGUGUGUGAAGAAGGCCUUCGGGUUGUAAAGCACUUUCAGUGGGGAGGAAAGGUUGUUGGUUAAUACCUAACAGCUGUGACGUUACCCACAGAAGAAGCACCGGCUAACUCCGUGCCAGCAGCCGCGGUAAUACGGAGGGUGCAAGCGUUAAUCGGAAUUACUGGGCGUAAAGCGUGCGCAGGCGGUCUGUUAAGCGAGAUGUGAAAG
rnacentral:rRNA from 1 species